rnacentral:sRNA from 1 species
CAUUCUCAUCUGCUGUUUCUACACUGACAUUCUGGCCUAAUGUACCAUUACUUUUCCGUUCCUGGGAUUCUCGGCUGCUGUUUUCGCUUCAGUCUACUUCCCUCAGGUGUCUGCAUGUAUCAAGCAAAUAUUUUUACCGUGGUUUUUCUGAUUGCAAAGCUCUCUUCAUGGCACUGCAGUCUAGUCACAGAAGGUGACAGUCAUUCUGUGCUACUGUCAGGUAGAGCCGAUGUAGUCAAAUGACCAUUAUUCCUCAAAGCGGCCCCAGAUGUGCUCUCCCCACAUGACAGAUAUUAAUCAGGCAGUUUCUAGAGCCCUUACAAACUCCUUCAGGGACAACAUGAUAAAAAAAGGGGGGGGGGAGGGACACAAUGCCAUUCUCUACCCAGAAUAGCCCACUGUUCAUCCACCUCACUAAGUGGCUAGAGUAGCACGGGACUGAGAAAAUCAAAUCCCAUCUAUAAAGGCAAAGACUGUGCUCUACUGGUGACAUCUUUAAAGAAGGGAUUCUGCAGACCCUGGGAACAAAUCCACAAGAGAGAAACUGAAAUGUGAGGGGAUGAGGGCAGCAUUUAGGGUCCAGUGUGUGAACACCUAAGGAGCGAGCAAACUUCAUGCCACAGGCUCCAGCACAGCCAGGCUGUGCAGGAGGGGGAUGCGGCCUUCUCUGCCUCUUCUCACGCUCCCACAGAACUCGUUGCCUUGAUAGAGAUCUUCGGGUUGGGCACAGACAUCACAGGGUAACCGUAACCAGCACAUCUGCUCAGAGCACGGAGUGCAAACAUUUCAGUUGCCAGGCAGACCAGGGAAAACCUCAUAUGCCUUCUCCCAGAGUCGCCCAUCAAUGUCGUUUUGGAGGGAGCAGCCUGAAGCAUGCACGGGCAGUGUGGAAGUGUGGAGGAAGGGGCAGACACUCACCCACUGAGCUACCUUCCUUCACUCCUGUCUAACUCCACGUCCUAACUCCACAUCCUAGAGACCCCAGCCCGUCCAAUGGAAAUGAUGUAAGUUGAACCAUUUGGUAAGAGUGUAUAUCCUAUUCUCCUUCUUGCUGAUAGAACCUUUGAGGAGAGAAAUACACAGCAGAAUAUCUGUAAUUAUAUAUAAACUGCCUGUAAAAAUGCAUAAAACAGGCAGAGCAAAGUUGCACGUCAUCCAACUGACCUCAUUUCUGGGGACAGUCAAGGGCCCAGUGAGAGAGUCCCUUAGCACAGUGGCCUUUACUUCCUUCUAGGAGGUAUUGCUCUCCAGUCUUUCUUCUUAUUGUAUUGCCUCACUCCCAAGUCAGUAAAUCACAGAAUCUUUAGAGACAGUGUGCACACCAUGUCCUUCCUGCUCAGUGAACAAAUGCCAGCUAAACUCUGUAACUGCAUUGAGCAAGUCUACCUAAGUUUCUUCUACAAACCCUUAGCUUUAUCCCCAACCUGUUUUGUGUAACAGCUAGUGAUUUUAUAGCCAUCAAGUCUCAGAGGAAAACCACCGAACCAUAGCGGAGCUCAGCAAAGUCAUCUUCCCGUCACUGAGCCUCUCUAGAGUCAGGGUUACAUGAUUCCAACCAGAUGUGCAUUGCAGCACUCAGGCAGACCCUCCCCCGGUGGGGAACUCCAGAGGUGGGGAUUAAACCUAUUAGAAAUCCUGUCUCAGCUUUCCCUUAACAUGGGAGUCCCAGCUGGACAAAUCUGGGCCAUCUACCAACUUUAUCUUCUUCAGGGAAGAUGAAGAAGUGUUCAGAAACAAGAGAGUGGGGUUUCCGGAGAAUUAAUUCAGUGUCUGAGCUCAGAAAGAAAGCGGUAGUGGGAAAUGCUUGAUGCUCAUUAAAGGAAAACAUGUUUGUGACAGGUGCAGCCAACGAUGGCGAGAUAGGGCUUCAAACCAAACCCAUGUAUUAUUAUCAUUAUUAUUACUAGUAUUAUUGUUAUUUUUAUUACCUAUGUGACCAUGCAUAUUUUAUCAUUUAAAAGAAAAAGAAGUCUUCUUGUAACUCUCAUAAAUGGGCACUUUCUGUUUAAAUUGCAUUUAAAAUUUCAAGAUUAAGGGGUUGGGGAUUUAGCUCAGUGGUAGAGCACUUGCCUAGCAAGCACAAGGCCCUGGGUUCAGUCCUCAGCUCCGGAAAAAAAAAAAGAAAAAGAAAAAAAUGUCAAGACUAGUCAUAAAUAUCUGUUCAUUUUACUCCUUUUAACUGCAUACAUCUUUUUAUUAAAAUACUUUUUCCAAAUAAGACUUUUCAUUUCUUAAAUGUGUAUAAAAAGCAAAGCAGUUUUUACCAUUUGAACAUACAUCAUGAUGACAUUCAUCAUCCAAAAUAUAGGGUUUUUUUUUUUUUGCUAAUUCCUGUCUUUUUACCUUUAAUUAUAAAAUUUUAAGCUUCUUUAAAUUUCUAAGCUUUAUUUUAGCUUAAUUAAAAAUCUUUAUUUUUCAAUUAUAGUUCACAGAACUGACUCCCUCACAAGAUUACCAUAAAACAUCAAAAACCAUUAGCAGUAUCUGUAUUUUAUUUCGUAAAUGAAAAAUCAGAAACUCAGAGAGGCUGAGCAACUUACCCAAGAUCACACAGCCAGAGAGAGAAACACCCGGAUCACUUGACUCCUAACAAGUUACCCCCCCCCCCAAACCAAACAACUUUUCCAAAUUAGCUGUUUAUAAUAGGAGAGGUCAUACUGAAUGGACAAGAGACUGACCUUUGACCUAUUCAACAGAGGUCACAGACAUACUAGAAUAAAGGUAAGUUAUGAAGGUAUAUGUUCAAUAAAAUACAAACGUUUAAAGAAUUGUUUUGAUAUGUGUGUGCAUGCAUGUGUGAGACUAUAUGCCACUUGCAUGUGUGUGCCCACAGGGGCCAGAAGAGGCAUCAGAACCCACUCAAGUGGAAUCAUCUGCAGUCUUGGAAAAACAGCUCAUGCUCUUAACUGUUGAGCCAUCUCUCCAGCCCCCCGAUCUCAGUUCUAUAUGAAAAAAAAAUGCACCCAUACGUCUGAAGGCUAAGAAUAAUUCUGUA